AACAAUGUUCAGCAACCUAAUUUGAAGUUUGAAUUUACAGACUGGAAUGCACCAUCAUCGUCCACACUAGUUUCGAUCAUUGAAACAUCACUAAGGCGAACUUAUCAAAAAAGUGAUGACGGAGUAAGGCCGUUGAUUGAAAAUCUUACAGAUCUUUGGACACAUUUUCUUGAUUCUGUGUCAUCCAGCAUAAGCGACUUCAUUGGGCUUAAACAUUUGGGAAUUAUUCUGAAGCAUCUGGCAGUGUCGGAGACAAAAAGCGUGAAAAGGAUGUAUGCUUCCAACUAUAAAGUUGGAGAACCAAAUCUCAUCGUCUGCCCUGCAGG